rnacentral:rRNA from 1 species
UACAGAGGGUGCAAGCGUUAAUCGGAAUUACUGGGCGUAAAGCGCGCGUAGGUGGUUGUGUAAGUUGGAUGUGAAAGCCCCGGGCUUAACCUGGGAACUGCAUUCAAAACUGCACGGCUAGAGUACGGGAGAGGGGGGUAGAAUUCCAGGUGUAGCGGUGAAAUGCGUAGAGAUCUGGAGGAAUACCGAUGGCGAAGGCAGCCCCCUGGCCUGAUACUGACACUGAGGUGCGAAAGCAUGGGGAGCAAAC